UACGUAGGGUGCGAGCGUUAAUCGGAAUUACUGGGCGUAAAGUGUGCGCAGGUGGCCGCGCAAGUCGAGUGUGAAAUCCCCGAGCUUAACUUGGGAAUUGCGCUCGAAACUACGUGGCUCGAGUGUGGCAGAGGUAGGUGGAAUUCCACGUGUAGCGGUGAAAUGCGUAGAGAUGUGGAGGAACACCGAUGGCGAAGGCAGCCUUCUGGGCCAACACUGACGCUCAUGCACGAAAGCGUGGGGAGCAAACAGG
rnacentral:rRNA from 1 species